rnacentral:rRNA from 1 species
UACAGAGGGUGCAGCGUUAAUCGGAUUUACUGGGCGUAAAGCGUGCGUAGGCGGUUCAGUAUGUCGGUCGUGAAAUCCCCGGGCUUAACCUGGGAACUGCGGCCGGAAACUGCUGGGCUUGAGUGUGGUAGAGGAAGGUGGAAUUCCAGGUGUAGCGGUGAAAUGCGUAGAUACUCGGAGGAACACCGAUGGCGAAGGCAGCCCCCUGGGUCAAGACUGACGCUCAUGCACGAAAGCGUGGGGAGCAAACAGG